rnacentral:rRNA from 1 species
AUACGUAGGGUGCGAGCGUUGUCCGGAAUUACUGGGCGUAAAGAGCUCGUAGGUGGUUUGUCGCGUCGUCUGUGAAAUUCCGGGGCUUAACUCCGGGCGUGCAGGCGAUACGGGCAUAACUUGAGUACUGUAGGGGAGACUGAAAUUCCUGGUGUAGCGGUGAAAUGCGCAGAUAUCAGGAGGAACACCGGUGGCGAAGGCGGGUCUCUGGGCAGUAACUGACGCUGAGGAGCGAAAGCAUGGGUAGCGAACAGGAUUAGAUACCCUGGUAGUCCAUGCCGUAAACGGGGGGCGCUAGGUGUAGGGGUCUUCCACGACUUCUGUGCCGUAGCUAACGCAUUAAGCGCCCCGCCUGGGGAGUACGGCCGCAAGGCUAAAACUCAAAUGAAUUGACGGGG